GUUUUUGCUGUUUUGAUAGGCAGGGAAUACAAGAUAAACCUUUAUCAGUGCUAGCCACCUUGCAACACUGAACAUUAAGAAUUGACAGAGCUCUGGGUUCAACCUCCCAAAAGUGCUACAGAGCACACAGCUCCAGUUUCCAUGCUUUUCCCCAAAAGCACAGCUACCUUCUCCUCCUGCCUUCUCCGUUGCUCUUUUUGGAGAUGAAACCAAAGUACCUCACAGUCUUGUUGAAUGUUCUCAAGAUCUCAUAUCUUUUGGUUUCAUUGUAGUCUCCCAUUUGCAGCCAAACCUGCUUUAUCAUACAAAGUAAGAUAAAUUUCCAGGAAGAAGAGAAAAACAGCAAAAGAAAAAAAAUACUAUUCAUGGUGCUGAAGUCAAAAAGUCCAGGCAUGGUCAGGUUCCUGCACAAAAGAAGAAGACUAAAUAUUGCUCAUAUGCAAAUAAUCAAGAAUCAGAAGAAAAUAAACUGGAAGUCAGAAUAAACCAUGGUUAUUGCUAAGAAGAAAAGUCAAAGCCAAGAAAGAGAAAGAUCUCAGGAACAAACAUACAAUAAAGAAUUUCAAAGAGUAUUAGAAGAUACAAGAAGCAAUAUUACAGCAAUAUCUGGAAAACACUAAAGAUGGAAACAGACAUGGAAAAACAAGGAAAUUCUUUCAGAACAAUAUCUGAACUCAGAAGGUUCCAAUCUCAAAUUGGUAAGCUAAAUAAUGCCAAUUGAUUGAUAACAGUUGAUUCAAAAAUCAAACAAAGAUGGAAGGAUGAUACUGAAAUUUUGUACAGUAAAGAUGUCAACAUCUAAGAUAUUUUUAAAAGUAUUUCCUACUUAAGAGAACCUUUAAAGUUAAAAAUAAAGUUAGAUCAGCACUCUGAUCAUUGCCAUGUUGGCAGCUACAGGAACUGAUGGAAUAGCAACAGAAAUAUGGGUAGCAACAGAAGAAGAAUCAGUAAAAUGACCGAGGCAUGUCUAAGAUAUGUCAUCAAACCUAGAAAAUGAUACGAUGGUCAAAAAAUUGGAAAAGAUCAAUUUACACAACAAUACCAAACAAAAUGGAUGAAUUAUUGUAUUAUAUCUUUAAUUUCACAUGCUAACAAAAUAACAUUUAGUAUCAUGCAACACAGAUUAAGCCCUAUAUGGAGAGAUGCCAAAUGUUCAAGCUGGCUUUAGAAAAGGCCAAGGAACAUAAUGCAUUAUCUUGAUGUAGGCGAAAAUUAAAGAAUACCCCCCAAAAAAUGUUAGCAUGUGCGUCAUUGAUUGCAGAAAAGCCUCAGUUGUGUUCAUCAUGCCAAGAUGCGGACUGUGGUUAGAAAAAUGGGUAUCUCAGAACAUCUUUCUGUCCUCACAUAAACCUUCUACAUACCUCAGGAAGCCACAGUAUGGAGAUAAUAUAAAUUACUCCAAGUUGCCAUAGAAGUAAGAUAAGGCUCUAUCAGCUCCCCUUAUUCCCGGGGUUCCCAACCCCUGGUCCGUGGACCGGUAUCGAGCUGCAGCAUGCCAACAACGGUCUGCACAAACAAGCAAAGCCCCAUCCUUGGGAUGCAGGCAGCACACAAAACCUCACAUUCCUUAGUCCACAGAAAAACUUUUCUCCACGGAACUGGUCCCUGGUGCCCAAAAGGUUGGAGACCUCUGCCUUAUUCAACCUACAUGCAGAAUAUAUUUUGAUAAAAGCUAGAUUGAAAGAUGAUUGUGGCUUUAAAACUGGAAGACAUAUCAAUAACUUGUGCUAUAGUGAUGAAGUGACUCUGAUAGCAUGCAAGUGAUCCACAAGCUCCAGUAAGGAAAAUUAAGGAGAAUAGUAAAAACAAACAAACAGGGGAGUCAGAUUAAAUAUAAAGGAGGCCAAGGUAAUGACAACAGGUCCAGCAAGGAGUCUUAGAAUUGACAAUAAAGAUAAUGAAGUAAUGUAUACCUCCUGCCUUUUAAGAUUAACUAUCAACAGUAAAAUAAAUACACUACAUACUUGGAAUGAAGAUAUUAGGAAGAUAUUCAGAUGCCAGGAUGUAUCUAUAACAGCAGUAGUUUUCUCUGUAACACUCUAUGGAAAAUAAUGCUGGACUUUGAAGAAGUGGGAUAGAAAGAUUACAGGUAGUCCUUGACUUAUGAGCACAAUCGAGACCAAAUUUCCAUUGCUAAGCAAGACAGUUGUUAAGUGAGUUGUGCCCCAUUUUGCAACAUUUUUUUUAUCAUAGUUAAAGAAAUUACUGCAGUUGUUAAGUAAAUCUGGCUUCCCCCACUGCUUUGCUUGUCAGAAGCCAGUUGGGAAGGUUACAAAUGACAAAUACAUGAUUCCAGGGCAAUGCAAUUGUCAUACAUGCUAGUUGCCAAGCCUCAGAAUUUUGAUGAUCACAUGAGUGUGGGGCUGUCACAAUGGUUGGAAGUGUGAAAAUAAGGUCAUAAGUCACUUUUUUCAGUGCUGUUGUAACUUUGAAUGAUCAUUAAACAAAUAACUGUUAAGUCAA